GCUGCUAAAGCUCCUAGCCCUGCUUACACGAUGCUCUUGCAGGGACCCGAAGCGUCCAACCCAACCAAUGACCACUGGAUACUAAACAAUUAAUCAUAUAUGAAUAUACGACAGAUCUGCAUACUCAUUUAUCUUACAAAAGUUGGCAUGUGGAAGGAAUACACCCUGGAUGGAACAGCAGAUUAAAUCUGAACAGAAAAGACGAAACCCUGACAAACCCAAGUCCCUAUGGCUCCAGGAGUUUUCUCCAUACUGACUGCUUUUCUGAACCGUACAGGGUGUUAAUCAGGAGGAGAGGGAAUUCCCAGUGCUGAGCCGAGCCAAGAGAAGCAGCAGCCCUGAAUACCUGUCAGGUGUACGGUGACAUGACAUUGUUUAGCCAGAGCAAGAUUGAUUGUGGAAGGCCAAGACAGUGAAGACGUUGCUGAUGGGUUAUGUUUCUGAUUGCCUGAGAAAUGAUGCCUGCAUUAUCUGUAGUCAUGUCAAACUGCAGAGAGAUAGGGAGAGGGGAAGAAAACAGCAGAAAGAGAGCGUGGAAUAAGUCCAAGAUCCGCCGUUAAACUCUAAUUCUUUCAUUACCAAACUUUAGGCUUGAAUCUCUGUUGAAAGUGUGUCAGAAGCAUAAUUUAAGCAUAAUUUUCUGAUGUUAUGUGUCCAAGCUCUAUAUGUGAGAAAUGUACUGAUGACACUGAGAUUCGAAUGGCCUUUCAGAUAAUUAUCCUCCCACUUCAACAAAUGGACUUGACCAUGCAUGUGGGAUUUCUUCACUGCUGCUUCUGAGAAUGUGCUCCUUUGAAUGCUAGCUAUGUUAAGAGCUCCUAUGAAUAACCACUGUACAUUUAACUGGACACUUAAGUAUCAUUUUGAGAGAAUGAGACAUUACAAUGACAGUUUAUUUUUCCAUCCAGCCCCUAAGUAUGGCAUAUCACCUAGAAAAUCCUGCAUAAUAUAAUUAUCUCCACAAGUAGAUCAUUAUCUGUAACAUAUUAUUAAGAACAAUUGAUUAACAAUAAUUUGUAGUUUAAAGAAAUGGACUGUCCAAACAUUUGAGUAAAGUGACCUCAUGUAUUAUGUACAGAAGCAGAGAAAUCCCAUAUUUCAGAUUUCCCAUAUUUUCUUUUUCUUAUUCUGUCUAGCAAUCCCUCCGUGACAGGAAAAUCUGAUUCCAGUCUUUUGCAUACUGUGUGUGUGUGUGUUUGUGUGUGUGUGUCUGUCCGUCUCACAAUGACACAAUGGUUGUCGUCACAUAGUCUGGGGUUGUAAUAUGCUGAGAGUGGACAGAAAAGGA